rnacentral:piRNA from 1 species
UUACAAGGUUUCAUUCAACUGCUGGUC